AGCCUCUGACACAACAUGUAAACGGUUGACGGACUUUCGACAUUGAAAACAGGUGUGAGUUAUGCCAGUGUCUCCGCGUUGGUCACGAACUAUUGCUCAGUGAAACUUUCAAAUAUUGACUCUUCUUCCUCUAAAAAAUAUGGAUACGUCAUCUAUGCUCGAUCUGCCGCCAGUUCCGGACUGUUUUAGUAGACUUUUGGUAGGGGAGCAAAGUACUUCACACUUACCAACCCAACCGUGGAGAGAAGUCGAAAAACUGAAGGAGCUAAAGGACAUCAUGUUGAAAACUUUAGCGAAAGACUCAGUCCCUGGUGCAAAAGCUUUGUUCAAUGGAGAUCUAGGCGGAAAGGAAGAUAGUGAUUCGGAAGCGCACACAGGAGGAGUGGCUGCAACACCAUUUAACCGUCUCAAUCAGGCAUUAGACACUCUGAAAAAAGAAAUGGCCAGCCUUCGUCAUCUGGAUAUGUCUCUUUUCUGCCAGCUCCUGUCUCUAAAUGAGGCAAUCCAGGAAUUCAAAAUAUCCAUGCAAGAUCGCUAUUCAGAAUACACUGGCUCUGAAUAUACUGGGUCAGAAUAUAAUGGUUCAGAAUAUUCAUAUGGAGGCAUGGGAAGCAGAACUGGCUCCUUUUCUAGCCUUAUUGAAGAGAGUGACUGGAACACUGACUUUAGGAUGAACUAUGAUGAUCCUAACAGUCCAUCCUCAGCUGCUGAAGGAAUAAAUGACAUGGGGGAGAUAACUGCCAGUGCUUCUAGUUUGAUGCAACAGAUUGAAGCAUUGGCAUUAAGAGCUGACGCUGACUUUUCUUUGUGAGAACUUUACCUUUUAGAGUUUUUUAGAGGAGAAGUUUACAAUAUAGCACUGAUGGACAUGGAGGUUAAUGUUAAUUUUUUUUUUUUGCAUCUGUCUGUGUAUCUCAAAACAUCACAACCUUAGAAUUAUAAAUCAAUUUCACACUUAUUUAAUAUGUGGAGGGAAAAUCAUAAAAAUAUACUCAGUCUUUGGUAUUCACAGGGCUAGAGUGUUGGAAAAUGUGGAAAUAAUUGGAAAUAACCCUAACCCUUUAAGUUUCACUUAAAUCCUUACCUCUAAGUUCUGUUGAUCAUAUCUUUCAUACAAUAAAUUAAAAUAACACACUGUGUAUGCUGUAUUGCAGCAGUAUGUUCUAUGAAUUUAAAAUAAGUUUUGGGCGGCUUUAGCAGAGUGUACAGUCCAUAGUUUUGAAAAACAUUAAGACUUGCUACCAAAUUUAACUUUUUACAAUAAGAUUUAAUAAGAUAUUUAUGGCUGUAAACGAAAAAAUUAAUGAUACAUUUUUUAUGUAUUUAUGAUUUACUAAGUUUUUUUUUAGUUUUCUUUACAUUUUGUAGUCUACAUGCGCUGUCUGAGAUUUUCCACAUUAGACUGAAAAACUCCAAAAUAAUUUUUAUUUAAUUAUUGAUAUCAAGCGUACGAUUUAUCAAAAGUGAAAAAGUGAAGCUUGCAAAUGCUGAGGGUUAUGUUAUGACUUGAAUCUAAACAUAAAGACCAAAAUAGGAUGGGGAAGAGGGGAAAAAGAGUUUAGAAAGCAAAUACAACUGAUUACAUACACAUACAUAUAAGGAUGAGUUCAGGACUCAUGAUGUACUGUUAAUGAGAUCUGUUUAAUGCUGCUUCUAUUCCACUGUUUUGGGUUAUGCUAUAAAUCCACUCAGAAUAGUAAUUAGAAUAAAAUACAAGAUUUAUACCACAACAUUAUGUUUUCCUCAACUCUAAGUACUGGCCUGGUAUUCAUUCCCUUGAUUGCCCUGCAUGACCUAUGCUGGUCAACUCACACUGGCCUACCAGUGGAAAGGAGGUUGGCAUUGGCCUCCCUCUAAGGUACCCUGUCUUAAGAGAUUCUGGAUUUGAUGACAGAGCACAUUCCCAUAAUCCAAGGAUUCAAAGAGAAAGGGACCCUGGUGUUAAAACUGUAAUGAGUACUAACACAGGGAAAGCAUUCAAUAUCAGCAACUCCAUACAUAUAUUAUAUAUUAACCUUCUUAAUAGUAUUUAUAUCAUUGAAUAUCAUUCUAUUUAACAUCCAUAGAUUUGGUCGAAAAAGACUAACAGCACUUAAUAGGUUCAUGAAGCUUUUUUCUAUACUCAUUCCAAAUGGGACUAACUUUUCCCAGGGUUAGGGCAGACUAAGUAAUUUAAGUUCUGUCUUAUCAAUACUUGAGCUCAACUGUACAAAUCUCAUUUGAAGGAAAAUUACCUGUAACGUCUUGUAGUAAAUGUCCAAGAGAAGGAUCUGAUAUAGGAUAGCUCUUUUGAGCAUAAUAUGUUUAAUGAUUUCUCCAUUUCAUUCAGCCCAUCUUAUCAAAUCUUUAAAAUAUGUUGUGUUUAUAGCUUUAUUUUCUUACCUAAAACUUAUGAUGGUCAGUCCUGUAGUAAUUUGCUGAGUGUCAGUUUUGCCGCUAUAAAGAAAAUCAUGUUGCAGUAAAUGCUUAUUAGUUUUGCUAACAGAUUUUGACAGCAGUGCUUUAGCUGCUUAUGCAAGCUUUAAUUGCAGCACAUCAACUUAAGUAUACAAAGCACUGUAUAUUAUAAUUAUAGUUAUGUUGAUAGUAAGAUGGUUAUGUUAAUCACACUACAAGUAUGUGCCUGGCACACACCACUGGCCUUCUCUGCCACUGUCAAACAUUUUCACUUUUGAGGCAUAAAUUGUGCGUAGAAGUGAAAUGUGAUAUAUUUGAGAGCCCUCCUCUUUGCUAUAUUGGUGGAGAUAUUUGAAUUAUAGCUUAUAGUUGUGUUGAAUUUAAAAAAAAUGUAUUCACCGUUACACUCAUUAAGCUUACAAAUUUUAUUAUCCAUCUUAUAUCAUUCAGAAACUAUGGCAUCAUACCACUGCUUUUCCUUAUGGUAUGGUUAACUGUCAGUUUCAUUUGUGGUUUUUAUUCAUAGCACACUUCUUUGCAUUGAGAAAUGCACUUACAAAUUUUAUUAUUAUUGUUGUUGCUGUUGUUGAUUCUAAUAGUAGUGUCAUGUGUUGUGCAUGAGCAUUGUGAGUUACUGAGCAUUGUGGGAUAUACACUGAUGAGAUGACUUAAUCAUUAAUAAUUUUUCUGCAUUCCAGUCCCCAAGGGCAUUAUUUGCCCUGGAAAAUAAUGUUUUGGCCAUUUGGAGAGAGGACUGACUUUUGAAACUUAUAGAAUUAUUGUCUCCCUUGUCUAAAUCUUUGGUGUAAGGAAGUCAUUGAGCAUUUGUUGCAAAGGCAAAGUGUACAGCACACGAUGAAAUCAAGUCAGCUUUUCUGUGUUGUGUAUGCUUUAUUAUGUCAAAUUAGGACCUUGCAUUCAGAGAGUUUCCACACUUAUAAAAUGGAUUAAAAUUAGCUGCAAAGUUAUUAGCCUUUGUGAAUGCUACUAUUCCCUCCAAGAGAGCAAUGGAUAAUCUGUUGUUUUUUUUAAAGGGCCAUUCAUUGUGAAAAUUUACUUUGCCAUCUUUGAUGCUUUUACCACCACCAUUAUUAUUGUAUUUUCACCAAGAAAGCUGAUGACGUCAACAGAUUGAGUGCUACUAUCUCAUAAAUGGCAUUGGUCUCUUAGAUUUUGUUUUAAAACUUUGAGGGUCACGUAUAUUUUACUGGCAUUUUUUUAGUUGAGAUUACAUACCUGACAGUUGCCUUUCAUAAUACCCAAAACACAGCUAUUUUAUUUGUUCCGAGACGCAUUUUGCAGGCUACUCUAUGAGUAGGAAAAAAAAUAACUUGUGUAUUGGUCUGUUCUACAUCUGAACUAUGGCAUUUAGUACCUAGGUACUGCUUUUCAAGUCUUCCAGUUUGUCUCCCACAGUCUACUGUAUGUUAUGGCUUUUUGGCAUCCUAAUUCUCUAGAAGUAUUACAACAUUCCCACAAGAUAACAGCAAACCAUCUUUUGAUGUGUAAGAUAAUGAUUUUUCAAAACAUUUCCAGCCUCACAUGCAGUUUUUCAGCUGGAUUGAGCAGGUUGAAAAUAACUAUGAACUGUAUGUUUCCUCAUCCCAUUUAUCAUUUUAUAGACAUAACAUUUGGAUGUUGUGUUGUGUGUGUCCAUGUAUGUGUUCUUAUUAUUCUCUGUGUACUUUAUUAUUUCUCUCAACUACAAGUGAUGCACAUAUGAUCUGUGUGUGCUCUCACUCUCUAUUACAUUGCCAUUAAUUUGUGUAAAGCCCAUCAAGUCUGCUCUAUAGUGGAGAAAUAUGCUGUAUAAAUAUGCUCAUUAUUAUGAAAUGGCUAUACUGAUUUUCAUCCACAGUUUCUUGAUCAUAAAAAAAUGGGUUUUUUUGGCAGACUUAUUUAUUACAUAUUUUUGACAUGUAAGAUAUAGUACAAAUUCAUAAUAUACUUGUCUUAGAAGGGCAUGAUGUUCCUUUCUAUAUUGGUUGUAAUAAUGUACUAACAUUCCUGAAGGAAUAUGGAUGCAGCAAAAGUUUUUUAAACUUGUUCUCCAGUGCUGAUACUCUUAUCAUUGACUUUUCAUUCAUCCACAUUGACAAUGUGACCAAAAAAGAAUCUCCACUGAAGAGAUAUAACCCUUGGAGGUGAAAUCUCCUUGUUUUCCUUAAAGCUUACAAACUUCAUGCAAAUGGCUGUAUGGCCAAAGUGUGUUGUGAAAAUUGUUACAGUUCUAUGAUGAAUAUUUUCAUUGAUUAAACAGUAUUUAUUAGUAUUAUUUAUUUUUAAUAGACCUUGUUUGAAUUUGAAUCAUAUGACUUACAUUCGGCAUCUGAGAUUCAUUGUUUCAAAAAUGAAAAUACUCACUACAAUAGCAAUGAAAGAUAUAAAGUGAAGCUUGUAUUCUUUUUUCAUCUUGUUAUAAAUUUAAAUUUUGAGCAGUAGACUUUGAGGGAAAGAGCAUAAUUUUGUUGGACAUUUUUUGUAAAUAGUUUUGUUGAAUCAUUUUGCCUAAACCACAGUAUGACCUUGUCAAGUAAGAUAGAAGUAUAAAAGAUUUGUUUGUAUGAGAUACACUGUUGUCAGUUGGCACAUCUGCUAGUUAUUUGCAAUGUUGAGUUCAAGAUUAAUGCCUGUUUUGACUCAUGAAACUGUCAUCACUGAACUAUUUAUUCUGAGAUUUAAAAUGAUAUUUUAGUUCACUGAGGUACUACUUUUCCAGUCUUCCAGUUUGUCUCCCAUAGUCUACUAUAUGUUAUGUCUUGGUGGUUGUCAGCAUCCUAAUUCUCUAAUUCCCGCAAGAUAAUGGCAACCCAUCUGUUGAUGUGUAAGGCAAUGACUUUUCAAAAAGAAAUCAACAUUGGGAAAUAAUAAUUGUAACAUUGUUAUAAAUUAUUUUAGUGAGCAAUUUGAUAUUCUUUUAUAUUCUGAUUUGUACUUGCUUCUUGAGUUCAUAGCCUUUCCAGCAUAAUACUUGUGUUUUAUUGUUUUAUUUUGUAAGGCCUGAAAGGAUACCACACUUGAUUUUUGUAAAUAAUCCGCCCUUCACCUAGUGUCGUCAUUUUAGUACUCAAGAUCUGAUGUUUUUGGAUGCAUCUACUUAGGUAUAUUGGAAAAUAUACAAUAUUUGUUGGAAAGUGAAACAGUAAAUUACAAGACAACAGUAUUGAUAGGAACUGCUCCCCUAUUAUUCUUGAAAGAGUUAAGGCUUUAUACUGUCAGGAUUGAAAUGCAAUACAUCCAAGUAAUAUGUAUUGUUUUUUAUAUAGCAUACAUGAUAGUUAAAUAAUCUUAAUGCUGCUGCAUGAUGAUCAAAUUGUUUUGACACAGAUAACAUGGCAUACAGACUAUGGCAAUGUGAAACUGACCAAGAUCUUGUUGUAAUCUACCUCCAUAUAAUACUGUAGUUUGUUUUUCAGGCUUUAUGUUGGUGCUAACCUUUUUCAGUUGUGUGUGUGGGUGAGAAAGAGAGGAAAAUGAUGACUGAAACCAGUGUAUUACUGUGUUAGCACAUGCACAUUCAUAAGCAUGGAAAUAGUGAAUGUACAUUACAUUGUUGAAAUGAUUUGUAUAGUAUGCAUAAUGUGUAAUCAGUAUAUGCAAGAUGAAGGAUGUCAACCCCAAAUGCACGAGAGAGAGAGAGAAUGUUUGUGAUGAAGAUAACUGAACUAUUGUAUUAAAUACGGAUGCUAAGUGGCUGCGUGGGAAGCUAACUGUAAGGGGUUCACCAUGUCAAGGAUAUGGCAUGUGAAAGACAGAGCCCAAGUCUCACUUUCUGGCACAUCUUAGCUUCCCCUCCUCCACCCUUUGAUAAAGCAGGCAGUUAUAAGUUCAGCUGGGAGUUUCCCAGUCACUAGCUUCCCCAUUCCCACCCUGCCGGGUAAACUUAGAACCGGCGACCUUUAUUUUAUUUUGCUCCAAAGUCGAACAAAAUAACCCACCAGCCCCUUGGUGCCUCCCCUGCUGAUAUAUCAGCACAAGUAUCACAAAGUAUGAUUACUAGAGCUAUUCUGAGUUUAAAGCGAUGAUGAUAUCUGUAAAAGAUAUUUUUCACAUGAUGAUAGAGCUGAUAAAUCUUCGUAGACAUGAUAUAUAUAUAUGGCGUACAUCAGUAGUUGUGAGUGUGAUGCACAAAUCCGGCCAUUCUGUUGACCAGUCUUUCACCUGCUCAGCACGAGAGAAGGGUAUCAUAUCAUGAUACGUACUGUCUUUCCAUCAACUGCAUGGCCUUCUGUUGUUUCCUUUUCGCUGGCAAUGAAACUACGAACACGUCGUUGACUAUUAAAGAGAUUAAAAUGUAUGUUUGCCGUUUAUGUUAGUGUUGUGCAAAGCUGAAUAAACAUUGAAGUAUGCAAACAGU